ACAAUGACCUUCAUUGUUUAUACAUUUUUUAAUAACGCUGUGAUUAUUUAUUUUCCAAGUCCCAUUUUGUCCCUGUGUCUUUUGGGGUUUUGAUAAUCUGCGCAUGUCAAGGCCUGGGGCUCAUGUUGAUUACCCCUUGCCCUGUUUACAACCUUACUGAUAAACAGAAUAUUCUGGAUCGGUUAACCCCUGGCUCCUCACACCCUAGAACUAUGUCCACAUUUAUCAGAGAUGUUCAACUUGACUUCAUUCCUUUGUUUGUUUUUAGGAUUCUUCAUCCAAAAUAAACAAUGUAAG